GAUGAAGAACGCAGCGAAACGCGAUAAGUAGUGUGAAUUGCAGAAUUCAGUGAAUCAUCGAAUCUUUGAACGCACAUUGCGCCCCUUGGUAUUCCAUGGGGCAUGCCUGUUCGAGCGUCAUUUGUACCUUCAAGCCUUGCUUGGUGUUGGGUGUUUGUCUCGCCUCUGCGCGCAGACUCGCCUCAAAACAAUUGGCAGCCGGCGUAUUGAUUUCGGAGCGCAGUACAUCUCGCGCUUUGCACUCAGAACGACGACGUCCAAAAGUACAUUUUUACACUCUUGACCUCGGAUCAGGUAGGGAUACCCGCUGAACUUAAGCAUAUCAAUAAGCGGAGGA
rnacentral:misc_RNA from 1 species